GACGAACGCUGGCGGCGUGCUUAACACAUGCAAGUCGAACGGAAAGGCCCUGCUUUUGUGGGGUGCUCGAGUGGCGAACGGGUGAGUAACACGUGAGUAACCUGCCCUUGACUUUGGGAUAACUUCAGGAAACUGGGGCUAAUACCGGAUAGGAGCUCCUGCUGCAUGGUGGGGGUUGGAAAGUUUCGGCGGUUGGGGAUGGACUCGCGGCUUAUCAGCUUGUUGGUGGGGUAGUGGCUUACCAAGGCUUUGACGGGUAGCCGGCCUGAGAGGGUGACCGGCCACAUGGGGACUGGGAUACGGCCCGGACUCUAACGGGGGGCAGCGGUGGGGAAUAUUGAACAAGGGGCGGAGGCCGGAUGCAGCAACGCCGCGUGGGGGAGGACGGCCUUCGGGUUGUAAACCGCUUUCGCCUGUGACGAAGCGUGGGUGACGGUAAUGGGUAAAGAAGCACCGGCUAACUACGU
rnacentral:rRNA from 1 species